GGAUCUCUUUCAUUCAUCAGAGUAGGAGCGGGAAAUUGGUGGGCUUUUUUAUUUUAAUUUUUCUUAUCAAGAUAUUAGGGGAUGGGACAAGAAGACAUGAAACUUAAACAAUGUCAUUAGACUUGUUCACCCCAAAAAGUGGUGUUGUGUAUUUUAUCACUUGAGUAUUGUUCACCCUAAAAAGUCUUCCUCGAGUAAACAAUGUCAUAGAGUGAGUACCGAUGUAAGAGCAUCUAC
rnacentral:lncRNA from 1 species